CCAAUAGCGUAUAUUAAAGUUGUUGCAGUUAAAAAGCUCGUAGUUGAACUUCGGGGUUUACCCAUUGGUCAGGCUUAAUUGUCUGUACUGGUGAGAUGAGUCUCUACCUUCUGAGGAACUUUCAUGCCAUUUAUUUGGUGUGAUUGGAAAUCAGGACUGUUACUUUGAAAAAAUUAGAGUGUUUAAAGCAGGCUAACGUCUGAAUACAUUAGCAUGGAAUAAUGAAAUAGGACGGACUGAUUCUAUUUCGUUGGUUUCUAGGAUCACCGUAAUGAUUAAUAGGGAUAGUUGGGGGCAUUAGUAUUCAAUUGUCAGAGGUGAAAUUCUUGGAUUUAUUGAAGACUAACUACUGCGAAAGCAUUUGCCAAGGAUGUUUUCAUUAAUCAAGAACGAAAGUUAGGGGAUCGAAGACGAUCAGAUACCGUCGUAGUCUUAACCAUAAACUAUGCCGACUAGGGAUCGGACGAAGUUAAUUUUAUAAUGACGCGUUCGGCACCUUACG
rnacentral:rRNA from 1 species